UACGUAGGGGGCAAGCGUUGUCCGGAUUUAUUGGGCGUAAAGAGCGUGUAGGCGGCUUUGCAAGUCCGUUGUGAAAACUCGAGGCUCAACCUCAAGACGCCGAUGGAAACCAUCAGACUAGAGUCCGGAAGAGGAGAGUGGAAUUCCUGGUGUAGCGGUGAAAUGCGCAGAUAUCAGGAAGAACACCCGUGGCUAAGGCGGCUCUCUAGUACGGUACUGACGCUGAGACGCGAAAGCGUGGGGAGCGAACAGG
rnacentral:rRNA from 1 species